AAACGACUCUCGGCAACGGAUAUCUCGGCUCAUGCAUCGAUGAAGAACGUAGCAAAAUGCGAUACUUGGUGUGAAUUGCAGAAUCCCGUGAACCAUCGAGUUUUUGAACGCAAGUUGCGCCCGAAGCCAUCCGGUCGAGGGCACGUCUGCCUGGGUGUCACGC
rnacentral:rRNA from 1 species